CCUACGGGAGGCAGCAGUGGGGGAUAUUGCACAAUGGGGGGAACCCUGAUGCAGCGACGCCGCGUGGGUGAAGAAGCGCCUCGGCGCGUAAAGCCCUGUCAGCAGGGAAGAAAAUGACGGUACGUGAAGAAGAAGCACCGGCUAACUACGUGCCAGCAGCCGCGGGAAUAAGUAGGGGGCAAGAGUUAUCCGGAUUUACUGGGUGGAAAGGGGGCGCCGACGGCGGUGGAAGCCAGGAGUGAAAGCCCGGGGCCCAACCCCGGGACUGCUCUUGGAACUGCGUGGCUGGAGUGCAGGAGGGGCAGGCGGAAUUCCUGGUGUAGCGGUGAAAUGCGUAGAUAUCAGGAGGAACACCGGUGGCGAAGGCGGCCUGCUGGACUGCAACUGACGUUGAGGCCCGAAAGCGUGGGGAGCAAACAGGAUUAGAUACCCGUGUAGUC
rnacentral:rRNA from 1 species